rnacentral:rRNA from 1 species
UACGAAGGGGGCUAGCGUUGCUCGGAAUCACUGGGCGUAAAGGGUGCGUAGGUGGUGAGGUAAGUCGGAUGUGAAAGCUCGGAGCUCAACUCCGAAAUGGCAUUGGAAACUACCUUGCUCGAGGGUUGGAGGGGGGACUGGAAUACUUGGUGUAGCAGUGAAAUGCGUAGAUAUCAAGUGGAACACCAGUGGCGAAGGCGAGUCCCUGGACAACUCCUGACACUGAGGCACGAAAGCUAGGGGAGCAAACAGG